rnacentral:rRNA from 1 species
GUCGAACGGAGAAUCAGCAAUGAUUCUUAGUGGCGAACGGGUGAGUAACGCGUAGACAACCUGCCUUCUAGAUGGGGACAACACUGCGAAAGUGGUGCUAAUACCGAAUGUUGUAUUAAGCCUGCAUGGGCUUGAUACUAAAGGUGGCCUCUAUUUAUAAGCUAUCACUAGAAGAUGGGUCUGCGUCUGAUUAGCUAGUUGGUGAGGUAAUGGCUCACCAAGGCGAUGAUCAGUAGCCGGUCUGAGAGGAUGAACGGCCACACUGGGACUGAGACACGGCCCAGACUCCUACGGGAGGCAGCAGUGGGGAAUCUUCCGCAAUGGACGAAAGUCUGACGGAGCAACGCCGCGUGAGUGAAGAAGGUUUUCGGA